GAUGGCCAUUCAAGAACCAUAAUUGGCAUCCAGGUUCAGCACCAGAUAAAUGGCACGCAGCACUACAAUUUAUUAAUCAUGGACCCUGCCAGUAAAACAAGAGCUUUGGAAAAAUCACUUAAAGACAAGGUUGGAUGGCAAAAGCUAAUUAAAAGAGGUGUCCAUACACUAAAGAAAGACCAAUAUCAGUUGUGUUUUAUCGAACCUGGAAUUGCAAGUGACGAGGAGCUGGAGAAGCUAAAGACCUUACACAGCAUUCGUCUUGAAUUUUGAUCGCAAAUCUUGAUUUGGUCUUUCAGUUCUACACUUGAUUAAUCUGGAAAUUUAACGGCUGGUACAUGUGAAACUCACAGUUAAACUUAUAUGGUAAUAUGAAUCUGUUGAGCACAAGAUGAUUCAUUAUGAGUUUCGUUUGAUUUCUAUAAAUGCUGGUAUGUCAUUUGUGUUUA